rnacentral:rRNA from 1 species
ACGAACGCUGGCGGCGUGCUUAACCCAUGCAAGUCGAACGGUGAAGCGCCUUCCUUUUUGGUGGGUGUGGAUGAGUGGCGAACGGGUGAGUAACACGUGAGUAACCUGCCCCCUUCUUCUGGAUAACCGCAUGAAAGUGUGACUAAUACGGGAUAUUCUGGGUCUGUCGCAUGAUGGGUCUGGGAAAGAUAUUGUUUCGGUGGGGGAUGGGCUCGCGGCCUAUCAGCUUGUUGGUGGGGUGAUGGCCUACCAAGGCGGUGACGGGUAGCCGGCCUGAGAGGGUGGACGGUCACACUGGGACUGAGACACGGCCCAGACUCCUACGGGAGGCAGCAGUGGGGAAUAUUGCACAAUGGGCGCAAGCCUGAUGCAGCGACGCCGCGUGAGGGAUGGAGGCCUUCGGGUUGUGAACCUCUUUCGCCAGUGAAGCAGGCCUGCCUCGUUUGUGGGUGGGUUGACGGUAGCUGGAUAAGAAGCGCCGGCUAACUACGUG